GAUGAAGAACGUAGCGAAAUGCGAUACUUGGUGUGAAUUGCAGAAUCCCGUGAACCAUCGAGUCUUUUAACGCAAGUUGCGCCCGAAGCCAUUAGGCCGAGGGCACGCCUGCCUGGGCGUCACACGUCGUUGCCCCCCCAUCUACUCCUUCGGGAUUGCGGGGGGCGGAUGAUGGCCUCCCGUGCGCCUCGUCGCGCGGUUGGCAUAAAUGCCAAGUCCUCGGCGACGCACGCCACGACAAUCGGUGGUUGCGAAACCUCGGUUGCCCGUCGUGUGCGGUCGUCGCGCAUCGAGGGCUCGAAAAAAUUGCCGGGCUCCGGCUCGGCUUUCAACGCGACCCCAGGUCAGGCGGGGUUACCCGCUGAAUUUAAGCAUAUCAAUAAGCGGAGGA
rnacentral:misc_RNA from 1 species